rnacentral:rRNA from 1 species
CGUGUAGGCGGCCAGACAGGUCCGUUGUGGAAACUCGAGGCUCAACCUCGAGACGCCGAUGGAAACCGUCUGGCUAGAGUCCGGAAGAGGAGAGUGGAAUUCCUGGUGUAGCGGUGAAAUGCGCAGAUAUCAGGAAGAACACCCGUGGCUAAGGCGGCUCUCUAGUACGGUACUGACGCUGAGACGCGAAAGCGUGGGGAGCGAACA